AGGUGAUAGCCUCUUCGGCAUUCCACUGAACGGCCACCUGUCCGCCUGUAAUAAAUGAUGGCUAUAAAGGGAAGUGAUCGCAGCUGUGAUACAGCCAGAGGCAUUUGUUUAUAUUCUUAUAAUAUGUAUCAGAUUGAAUAGAAAUUAUCACUUACAAUUGACAAAUGGAGAGUGGAGAUAGUUGGUGGGUAUCAGGAAGCUCAGCCAGAGCUGGGCCAGCUGCAAACUUUCUUCAGUGAAGGCUGUCUGCAGAAUGCAGGUGUUGAGCCAGCCAGUGAUUAAUGGUGAGGCUGGAUGCUCACUUUUGUUAAUGAUCCACAUGUCUUUGGAUAGCAGCACACAGUCGGGAAAGCUUGUUUCUUCUCAGAAAGAAUCCCUAUGGGUAGAGGCUGCCAUUUCAGGGGUUGAGUGUGCAAUGCCACACACAACUACGACUGCAAUCAACCCUAUUAAAGAUGCAUCUAUCUGGAGACUACAGGUCCCACAAUGCAAUGAGGAAAGCUUCUCAAAUAGAGGGUUAGGAAGGAUCUUGGACCACGAGUGAAUGAGUUUAGAGUUCUCAGUUUGGCUUGUGGAGUCACUGUCUGCCUGAGGCUGUUUGGCAGCUGGCACUGGGGCUUUCAUUCAGCACAGACAAGGGCAUGCUGCUCUCCUCCUGGCUUGGAGCCAGGCCAAAGCCACUAAGUGUGGUAUUCAGGGAAGGUAAGGCUAUCUUUCUGUCUGUCUUCAAACAACAUCUCUCUUCCUUAUUAGUUCAGAUAAGUGUGUAUCACAGAGGAUAUCCUAAAGCUGCUGCACCAGGGGAUGCUAGUGCCUUGCCUUUGCAGUGCUACAGCUAUACUGAGACAGAAGCAAAACCUGCUUCGUGAGGCAUGAGCACUCAAUCUUUGCAAAGUGUUCCUAGAAAAACUGGAGAUCUUCACAGAGAGCCUGAAGUUUCCAAAGAUUCAGCCUGCUAACAGCCACACAUCCCUGUACCUUGAAGUACCAUGCUAUGGCCCACCAAUACAACUUCUCACCCUCCUAUUUUUCAGCUCUGCUGUUUAAAGAUUUGUCAUCUCUUAAUCUGACAUCUGCAAAGUUGAAUACAAAGGCAAGUCUUGUCUUUUCUUGAUCGUGCAAUGACUUUUUCCUCAACCUCAUUUUUAACCUGUUCUAUAGAUUUGGCUUCUUAGUGUGCAGAGUGGAUUUUCCUGAGUGGACUACCAGCCUUUCUCUUCCUUUGAGGAAGACCAUUCACCUGGCAAGAUGCAACAUGAAGCCAAUGAAGUUUUGGGCAUCCUGCUUGCACGAUAUAGUUCUGUUUGCUGAUAUAUAUCUGCCCUCCAGAACCAUGUUACAUGCAGAGUUGGGAAGAAGUAAGCUGAAAGCAUAGGAAUGUUCUUAGAGUAAUCCUUGCAGAAGGUAAGAAACAAGAAAGGAAAA
rnacentral:lncRNA from 1 species